UACGUAGGGUGCGAGCGUUGUCCGGAAUUAUUGGGCGUAAAGGGCGCGUAGGCGGCUUGACAAGUCAAAGGUGAAAUCCCUCGGCUCAACUGAGGAACUGCCUUUGAAACUGUCUGGCUUGAGGCCGGGAGGGGGUAGCGGAAUUCCCAGUGUAGCGGUGAAAUGCGCAGAUAUCAGGAGGAACACCCGUGGCGAAAGCGGCUCUCUGGGACGGUACCGACGGCUGAGGAGCGAAAAGCGUGGGGAGCGAACAGG
rnacentral:rRNA from 1 species